AAUAAAUGCAGCCAUAGAUAUCUAUGCCCAAUAUUUGACCAUUCAUCUUAUUUAAAAAAUUUAUGAAAAAUUUAAAAAUAUUUAGUCACACAUAAAGUACUAUUCAUGUUUUAUCAUCUAAUAGCAAUAAAAAUACUAAUCAUAAAAAAAUUCAAAUAAGACGAACGGUCAAACGUUGAACGUGAAUAGUGUAAAACUACACUUAUU
rfam:Oryza glaberrima chromosome 2 Oglab02_0023_22, whole genome shotgun sequence.